rnacentral:misc_RNA from 1 species
GAUGAAGAACGUAGCGAAAUGCGAUAAGUAGUGUGAAUUGCAGAAUUCAGUGAAUCAUCGAGUCUUUGAACGCACAUUGCGCCCCCUGGUAUUCCGGGGGGCAUGCCUGUCCGAGCGUCAUUGCUGCCCUCAAGCCCGGCUUGUGUGUUGGGCCCCGUCCCCCGAUCUCCGGGGGACGGGCCCGAAAGGCAGCGGCGGCACCGCGUCCGGUCCUCGAGCGUAUGGGGCUUUGUCACCCGCUCUGUAGGCCCGGCCGGCGCUUGCCGAUCAACCCAAAUUUUUAUCCAGGUUGACCUCGGAUCAGGUAGGGAUACCCGCUGAACUUAAGCAUAUCAAUAAGCGGAGGA